AAGUCGUAACAAGGUUUCCGUAGGUGAACCUGCGGAAGGAUCAUUAAUUAUGUUAAAGCGCCUUACCUCUUAGGGUUUCCUCUGGGGUAAGUGAUUGCUUCUACACUGUGAAAAUUUGGCUGAGAGACUCAGACUGGUCAUGGGUAGACCUAUCUGGGGUUUGAUCGAUGCCACUCCUGGUUUCAGGAGCACCCUUCAUAAUAAACCUAGAAAUUCAGUAUUAUAAAGUUUAAUAAAAAACAACUUUUAACAAUGGAUCUCUUGGUUCUC
rnacentral:misc_RNA from 1 species